GAGACAGUUCGGUCCCUAUCUGCCAUGGGCGCAGGAUGCUUGAGAGGAGCUAUUCAUAGUACGAGAGGACCUGAAUGGACGUACCUCUAGUGUUCCAGUUGUCGCGCCAGCGGCAUAGCUGGGUAGCUAUGUACGGAACGGAUAACCGCUGAAAGCAUCUAAGCGGGAAGCCGGCCUCAAGAUUAGGCAUCCCGGGCCGUAAGGCCCCUAAAGACCCCUUGAAGACUACAAGGAGAUAGGCAGGGUGUGGAAGCGGUGAGAGCCGUGGAGCUGACCUGUACUAAUCGGUCGUGAG
rnacentral:rRNA from 1 species